GAUCUGGCUCAGGAUGAACGCUAGCUACAGGCUUAACACAUGCAAGUCGAGGGGCAGCAUGGUCUUAGCUUGCUAAGGCUGAUGGCGACCGGCGCACGGGUGAGUAACACGUAUCCAACCUGCCGUCUACUCUUGGCCAGCCUUCUGAAAGGAAGAUUAAUCCAGGAUGGCAUCAUGAGUUCACAUGUCCGCAUGAUUAAAGGUAUUUUCCGGUAGACGAUGGGGA
rnacentral:rRNA from 1 species